GUACAAUACCAAUACCGACUUCCAGAUCCAAUUUCAAGUCGGUUACCCGCAACCUCGCUCCCUUUAUAAACGCAACCCUCUUCUCUCUCUUACCUAACUGCCAUCAUUCACGUAUAAUCAAAUCACCAGCCGUCAAAUUAACAAAUCUCUCACUUUCUCUCUCCUCAACAACAACAACAACAGCAACAAUGGGUGGUUUUGAGAAGCAGGUCAAGGAAAGAGCUCAAGGAUUGAAGGUUCUCUUCAAGAAAGGUGUCAAAGUUGUUGGCGAUUACAGUAAGAAAGGAUGGUACAAGGUAAACAAAAGGGAUAAGAUGAACCGUUAGUCCAGCUAACUUAUGCGCUUUCAGCUCUAGAUUCGGGGGCGAUUUCGAAGUUGUAGAGAACCCACCCCUAGGUCGCCUACCAGGUUGUAUACUUACUUGUACUUGGAGUUUUGAAAUCUCCUUUACAUGAACAAAUUCCUUGAAGGGUAGUGACUAGUGACCUUAGUGUCAAAGUUCUCUUGGGAUAAAACUGUAAAUGAGAGAUACCCUUUCAAUCAUGAUGAAUAAGGAUGCAAUGACAAGGGCCGUUUUGUUCUUUUGCAAGAGCAGUGUUCUGGAUAAUUCUAUUGUUGUAGUUCAUAGUUCCGAUCAUUCAAGUUUCUGCUUUGAAAUGGAGUCGGCAGCUUAUGUUCUGCUCUAUUGUUCUCAAGAUAUGUGGAUCGAUUGUAUGUUUCAAGUUUAUUGCUCUAGCAAGUAGCCAGAACUUAACUGGGGAAAGACUGUAAAUCUGGUAUGAGAGCUAUGUUUCAUGAGAACUGAAGGGUAUAAUUGUUUGAUAAGACCACAUAUUUACCCAAAACUGAUUUAAGAAACAUGUAGUGAUGUUCCCUUGGAAUGAAUGCAUUGAAAUUUCGAGUAGCAUAAAUGAAUAACCAAGUCAAGACCUCUGUUUGCAUUUGGAUCUUGCACAGUUUAUUUUUAUCUAUCGCUGCGGGUAAUGGAGCUCACAGGAGAACAAAAGGCAUUUGAACUUCAAAUUAGUGACUAUCAUCAUCUAAGUAGAUUGUAAUAUUUAAUUGCCUCAACUGUUAAGAAGUUGUAUUAGCUUUUUAGAAAUAUAAUGUAUAUGGUUGAUAUGGAGAAAGUCUACACUUAAUAGUUUUUCUUUUAUGACUUACUCUACUGUACAAUUAAUAUUAAUUGAAGUAAUACAAUAUGGAUUUUGUUUAGUAA